UACGAAGGGGGCUAGCGUUGUUCGGAAUUACUGGGCGUAAAGGGCGCGUAGGCGGUUUGUCGCGUCUGCCGUGAAAGUCCGGGGCUCAACUCCGGAUCUGCGGUGGGUACGGGCAGACUAGAGUGAUGUAGGGGAGACUGGAAUUCCUGGUGUAGCGGUGAAAUGCGCAGAUAUCAGGAGGAACACCGGUGGCGAAGGCGGGUCUCUGGGCCGAUACUGACGCUGAGGAGCGAAAGCGUGGGGAGCGAACAGG
rnacentral:rRNA from 1 species